AAAUACAAAACUAGAUGAAUGACAGAAACGAUGAGAGAUUUAUAAUUAAUUU
rnacentral:guide_RNA from 1 species